rnacentral:lncRNA from 1 species
UAAAAAAAAAUUUUUUUUUUUUUUUUUUUUUUUUAAUUUCGUUUUUUCUGCAUUAAUAAUGUAUAUUGGAGACGUUUAUUUAUAUUUAUUUCAUUUAAUUCUUAUUCUUUUUUAACUUUUCUCUUCAAAAUUGAUUAUUCAAAGUAAAGGUGUGACAUCUUGCAAAGGUAAUCAAGAGGGGUAAUUAAGGAUUAAAUAUGGGUGUGUAGCAAUUAAAUAAUGAUGUCAAGUUUUGACAGGUGUUAAAUAUUAUAAUCCCAGGCAAAAAAACAACAUGAUCAAUGAAAAGAUUAUAUAAGAUUAAAUAGUUUUAACAUUUUGAUUACAGCUAAUUAAUUUAGAGAAAUGUUUGAUCUCUUUUUUCUUUUGUUCCAUAAUAUUCAAAUUAUUU